AAUCAAGCUUUUAAGGGCACACAGUGGAUGCCUUGGUGCCAACAGGCGAUGAAGGACGCGAUAAGCUGCGAUAAGCUUCGGGUAGCGGCACAAACGCUUUGAUCCGGAGAUUUCCGAAUGGGGUAACCUGGCGGUGGUAAUUCACCGUCGUCUUUUCCCGAAUACAUAGGGAAAAGCACGCAAUACCCGGUGAAGUGAAACAUCUCAGUAACCGGAGGAAAAGAAAGAGAAUCGAUUCCGUAAGUAGUGGCGAGCGAAAGCGGAAUAGCCCAAACCGGGGACUUGUCCCCGGGGUUGUAGGACCCCGUCGUGGGACCUCAAUGGAUAGGUCAAGGAACUGGAAAGUUCCGGCAUAGAGGGUGAUACCCCCGUAACCGAAAUCCAACGAGGCCCUAGGGUGUUCCUGAGUAAUACGCCACACGUGGAACGGCGUAUGAAUCCACGGAGACCACUCCGUAAGGCUAAAUACUAGUUGGCGACCGAUAGUGAACCAGUACCGUGAGGGAAAGGUGAAAAGAACCGCUGUGAGCGGAGUGAAAUAGAACCUGAAACCGUGUGCCUACAAGGUGUCAGAGCCCCUUCGGGGGUGAUGGCGUGCCUUUUGCUUAAUG
rnacentral:rRNA from 1 species